CUACGGGCGGCUGCAGUGGGGAAUAUUGGACAAUGGGGGAAACCCUGAUCCAGCAAUGCCGCGUGUGUGAAGAAGGCCUGCGGGUUGUAAAGCACUUUCGGUUGGGAGGACUGCUUCUAGCACUAAUAUUGUUGGAAGUUGACGUUACCUUCAGAAGAAGCACCGGCUAACUCCGUGCCAGCAGCCGCGGUAAUACGGAGGGUGCCAGCGGUAAUCGGAAUUACUGGGCGUAAAGCGCGCGUAGGCGGCUAGAUCAGUCGGGUGUGACAGCCCCGGGCUUACACUGGGAACUGCAUCCGUACUGUCUAGCUUGAGUACAGGAGAGGAGAGUGGAAUUCCACAUGUAGCGGUGAAAUGCGUAGAUAUGUGGAGGAACACCAAUGGCGAAGGCAGCUCUCUGGCCUGAUACUGACGCUGAGGUGCGAAAGCGUGGGGAGCAAACAGGAUUAGAUACCCGCGUAGUC
rnacentral:rRNA from 1 species